CAGGUGACUUUUCACAUUAGAAUGAAAAGAUAAGAGCAAGAGGGACCCCCUUGAAGAAGUCCUUUCCAGAGACCCGCAUUCCAAGUACCUCAUUGUCUCUUCUCUUAAUGCUCUAUGCUGAGGUAGUCUCAAAGUGGAUGUUAAUUUUUAUUUACUUACAAACAAAACUAGUUGGGAGAUUGACUUAGGCUCCCUAGGAGUUCCUUAUGACUAGAGAGCACCACAGAGAAGAGUUCAAAAACCGGACCUUCACACCUCACUCUGAAUAGCUUAAAAGAGUGGCUGAGUCUCAUUAACAUCCCUCCUCACCCUCAGUAGCUCAGCGUGUUGAGCCUUCUGCCUCAGUGUUACUGAGAUCAGCGACAGUCAGCGGAUCAAGGGUGGAAUCAGCACACGGAGGGAAGGACCUGUGCACAACCAUCCAGGGAAGGAAAAACACUCUCAAUCCUGAGGACAGAGAACUGAAGCUGGCAAGCCAAGGAUGUCAACAAGCGGUCUCCUUCAUAAGGCUCCCAGGGUUCCCUGGGUGAGAAAAACCUGUCCCAGUGCUGACGGCUCUCCGGUGCGCUGUUGCCAGAAGGUCUUCUCUUUAUUUUGAUUCUGGUGCCCUGACCCAGCAACUCAGUUUUACUCCAAGAUUUGCUUGCUAGUCUCUGGCAUUAUCCUUGCUUCAGGGAGCACAUUUUCCUACCCCUGCUCAUACACCACCUGUCUCCUAACUCUGCAUUCUCAUUUGGGUCAAAGAUAAUUUGAGCAAGUCUGAUGUGGUAACACGUCCAAACCAGAAUCGGUGCGCCCUUUAGAGGUGACAGCUCCCGUGUGUGUAAGAACCUGACACGCCACCCCUUCCUUACCCGGACCUGACAGGGAUUCCCAUGGUCCGAAUGAAAGCCUCAAGAAGACCAUGUUCUCUGCUUUGUGGCUUUGUAAAAAUCCAGCCUAAAGACUUCUUAAAUCUCGGCUAUUCCUCACAAGGAAGUGUGCGUGAGCGUUCCACAGUGAGAUCUACAGACAAAACACUUCCCUGCAGUUCCAGGUUCACCUGCCGCCCAGUUGGCAUUGAAUUCUUAGGGUGACUUUCUCGGAAGCAAUCAGUCCUAUCUUUCCUUAACAAUUCUGGAGUCCUGUUCCUGGGGGCCUCCGAGGUCAGUUCAGCAUCAAACAGGAGAGCACCGCGGUCCCAGCCUGCCCUCCCUGAACGUCCUUCCUUGACCGUUCUCCCCCUUGGGCGCUCCUGUGUCCCCGCCACAACCUGGUAACAGCGCCACAAGCCCAAGGCUCAAGACCCUCUCUGUCCCGUGGCUCCUUACCUAGGCACUGAGCUGAGUUUUUCCGGGGUACCCGGGGCCCUCCCUGAGUACACCGAUGCCACCAGCGCGAUUCAGAUCCAAUUGCCUCUCGCAGCCAACAGAGCAGGCUUCCGGACAGUCGUUCUCAGUCGGGGGGAUGGGGUAUCUCUAAGGUGGGUUGAGCAGGCGGCCGCUGAAGAUCUACCCUUAGGCUCGACCCUCCCCUCCUGAGGUUGUUGUGGAGGAGGAACAGGGGAGGAGCGUUUGGCCUGGCCUCCCGCCAGUUCUGAGCUGCUGCGGCUGUGGCUCUCACAGUGCUCGCCCCAGGGCGGGCCACUAAGAGCCUACGCGUGGAUCCUACCUGCCUGAAGCUGUGAUGGACUCUUAGGUUCCUAGUUAGACACCCAAGUCUUGCCAGGUCUGUUACGCGAUGAGCUGUGUGCCACCCCCAGGCGUAUUUUGUUAGUUUCAUCCUGUUCUCCAAAUCCACAAAGAGCACGGGAAUCGCUAAGCACCAGUUUAGAAUCUGAAAUAUUCUGCACAGUCCGCAUUUUGAUACUUUGUACCCGGAACCCCUGUUCACUCCUUUGUAGACUCUGUUCCAGACGAAAAGGCCUGACGCUGAGUAGCCUCCUUCCUUUGCUGAUAUUGAGGGACAUCGUAUUUAAGGUUCUGUCUCAUAGUUCAGUCUAACUCGGUCAUUACCGCUUAUGGUAAAGGCGCUUCCCUCCACAUAGAACAUUCCCUCCGUGAGUGAAGCAGCCGAGUUUUCUCCUCGAACUCAUUUUCCAACCAUUUUUAAAAAUCUUCAUCUAAAACUACUUAGGAACUUAAGGGAUAGCGUGAGAGUGGAGAGACAGUAUGAAGUGGCCACGAAGAUGCAAACACAGGAGGGACUCCAGAACUGCGGAUGUCAAAAACUCUUAUGCUUUCGCGAGAAAUCAGUCGACUCACGCUGAUGCGGCAUUCGUGUCCUUUGCAGCCUGACCGCAACCACCUCCUGGAAGCCUUCCAUCUUCAGCUCAGUUUACAUUCUGCCGCCCUGGAUGCCAUGCCGCAGCAUCUCCUUCGCUGGUGGGAUUUACCUUUUUGGCUGUCGUUCAGGUCCUGGUGAACAGUCCCGUGGCUUAUUUGUUGAGUGCUUAAUAAAAGGACUGUUGAUAGACUUAGAAACAGAAUCCAGGGAGCACAGUCAAUGGAGCAUAGUAUAUUGUUUCUGACCAAGCAGCACUGAGAGCCCCGACCAGCCAUUCACUUGAAGGAGCAAGUCCAGAAAGCCAUGGCUGGGACUCAGCAAGGGAUUCUCUGUGGAGAAAACCACCCCACAAGUCUGUGACCUUCACAGUCAGGCUGACAGGCCACCCAAGGGAGUCAGCUUCCUAACCCAUUCUUCAUAGUCUCCCCAACAUAGAUGCAAGUCGUUGGCAUGAGAGUCAAUGGGCAGAACAAUGGGGGUGAGGUGGACCUGAUGAGACAAAUAGAGAAGUUCCAACUUACUCCACAAUGCUGGGUCUCAAAGUAGUUUGUGCUCUUCUUAGGCCAUCUCACAUGACUAGAAUUACACUUCAUUUGUGCAAUAUUUCACUUCCUCAAAUAUACUAACACCCACAUAAAGAGAGU